rnacentral:rRNA from 1 species
AUUGAACGCUGGCGGCAGGCCUAACACAUGCAAGUCGAGCGGAUGAAGGGAGCUUGCUCCUGGAUUCAGCGGCGGACGGGUGAGUAAUGCCUAGGAAUCUGCCUGGUAGUGGGGGAUAACGUCCGGAAACGGGCGCUAAUACCGCAUACGUCCUGAGGGAGAAAGUGGGGGAUCUUCGGACCUCACGCUAUCAGACGAGCCUAGGUCGGAUUAGCUAGUUGGUGGGGUAAAGGCCUACCAAGGCGACGAUCCGUAACUGGUCUGAGAGGAUGAUCAGUCACACUGGAACUGAGACACGGUCCAGACUCCUACGAGAGGCGGCAGUGGGGAAUAUUGGACAAUGGGCGAAAGCCUGAUCCAGCCAUGCCGCGUGUGUGAAGAAGGUCUUCGGAUUGUAAAGCACUUUAAGUUGGGAGGAAGGGCAGUAAGUUAAUACCUUGCUGUUUUGACGUUACCAACAGAAUAAGCACCGGCUAACUUCGUG